UACAGAGGUCUCGAGCGUUGUUCGGAUUCAUUGGGCGUAAAGGGCGCGUAGGCGGCGGGGUAAGUCUGGUGUGAAAUCUCGGAGCUCAACUCCGAAACUGCAUUCGAUACUGCCGUGCUUGAGGACUGGAGAGGAGACUGGAAUUUACGGUGUAGCGGUGAAAUGCGUAGAUAUCGUAAGGAAGACCAGUGGCGAAGGCGGGUCUCUGGACAGUUCCUGACGCUGAGGCACGAAGGCCAGGGGAGCAAACGGG
rnacentral:rRNA from 1 species